UCGGAUUAGCUAGUUGGUGGGGUAAAGGCNCACCAAGGCGACGAUCCGUAACUGGUCUGAGAGGAUGAUCAGUCACACUGGAACUGAGACACGGUCCAGACUCCUACGGGAGGCAGCAGUGGGGAAUAUUGGACAAUGGGCGAAAGCCUGAUCCAGCCAUGCCGCGUGUGUGAAGAAGGUCUUCGGAUUGUAAAGCACUUUAAGUUGGGAGGAAGGGUCGUUACCUAAUACGUGACGGUUUUGACGUUACCGACAGAAUAAGCACCGGCUAACUCUGUGCCAGCAGCCGCGGUAAUACAGAGGGUGCAAGCGUUAAUCGGAAUUACUGGGCGUAAAGCGCGCGUAGGUGGUUUGUCAAGUUGAAUGUGAAAUCCCCGGGCUCAACCUGGGAACUGCAUCCAAAACUGGCAAGCUA
rnacentral:rRNA from 3 species